UACGGGGGGGGCAAGCGUUGUUCGGAAUUACUGGGCGUAAAGGGCGCGUAGGCGGUGCUCUAAGUCGGAUGUGAAAACUCUGGGCUCAACCCAGAGCCUGCAUCCGAAACUGGAGUGCUAGAGUUCUGGAGGGGGUAGCGGAAUUCCUGGUGUAGCGGUGAAAUGCGUAGAUAUCAGGAGGAACACCGGUGGCGAAGGCGGCUACCUGGACAGAAACUGACGCUGAGGCGCGAAAGCGUGGGGAGCGAACAGG
rnacentral:rRNA from 1 species